GAUGAAGAACGUAGCGAAAUGCGAUAAGUAAUGUGAAUUGCAGAAUUCCGUGAAUCAUCGAAUCUUUGAACGCAUAUUGCGCCCUCUGGUAUUCCGGAGGGCAUGCCUGUCCGAGCGUCAUUUCAACCCUCAUGCCCCUAGGGCGUGGUGUUGGGGAUCGGCCAAAGCCCGCGAGGGACGGCCGGCCCCUAAAUCUAGUGGCGGACCCGUCGUGGCCUCCUCUGCGAAGUAGUGAUAUUCCGCAUCGGAGAGCGAUGAGCCCCUGCCGUUAAACCCCCAACUUUCCAAGGUUGACCUCAGAUCAGGUAGGAAUACCCGCUGAACUUAAGCAUAUCAAUAAGCGGAGGA
rnacentral:misc_RNA from 1 species